GUGCUUGCUUUGGCAGAACAUACACUAAAAUUGGAACAAAACAGAGAGGAUUAGUAUGGCCCCUGCACAAGGAUGACACACAAAUUCGUGAGGCGUUCCAUAUUUUU
rnacentral:snRNA from 1 species